rnacentral:rRNA from 1 species
GAUGAACGCUAGCGGCGUGCCUAACACAUGCAAGUCGAGCGAAGCACUUUGCUUAGAUUCUUCGGAUGAAGAGGAUUGUGACUGAGCGGCGGACGGGUGAGUAACGCGUGGGUAACCUGCCUCAUACAGGGGGAUAACAGUUAGACAUGACUGCUAAUACCGCAUAAGACCACAGCACCGCAUGGUGCGGGGGUAAAAACUCCGGUGGUAUGAGAUGGACCCGCGUCUGAUUAGCUAGUUGGUAAGGUAACGGCUUACCAAGGCGACGAUCAGUAGCCGACCUGAGAGGGUGACCGGCCACAUUGGGACUGAGACACGGCCCAAACUCCUACGGGAGGCAGCAGUGGGGAAUAUUGCACAAUGGGGGAAACCCUGAUGCAGCGACGCCGCGUGAGCGAAGAAGUAUUUCGGUAUGUAAAACUCUAUCAGCAGGGAAGAAAAUGACGGUACCUGACUAAGAAGCACCGGCUAAAUACGUGCCAGCAGCCGCGGUAAUACGUAUGGUGCAAGCGUUAUCCGGAUUUACUGGGUGUAAAGGGAGCGUAGACGGAUGGGCAAGUCUGAUGUGAAAACCCGGGGCUCAACCCCGGGACUGCAUUGGAAACUGUUCAUCUAGAGUGCUGGAGAGGUAAGUGGAAUUCCUAGUGUAGCGGUGAAAUGCGUAGAUAUUAGGAGGAACACCAGUGGCGAAGGCGGCUUACUGGACAGUAACUGACGUUGAGGCUCGAAAGCGUGGGGAGCAAACAGG